rnacentral:rRNA from 1 species
ACACAGGUGCUGCAUGGCUGUCGUCAGCUCGUGCGUGAGGAUGUGGGUUAAGUCCGUAACGAGCGCAACCCUUGUCCUUAGUUACCAGCACGGUUAUGGUGGGCACUCUAAGGAGACUGCCGGUGACAACCGGAGGAAGGUGGGGAUGACGUCAAGUCAUCAUGGCCCUUACGGCCUGGGCUACACACGUGCUACAAUGGUCGGUACAAAGGGUUGCCAAGCCGCGAGGUGGAGCUAAUCCCAUAAAACCGAUCGUAGUCCGGAUCGCAGUCUGCAACUCGACUGCGUGAAGUCGGAAUCGCUAGUAAUCGUGAAUCAGAAUGUCACGGUGAAUACGUUCCCGGGCCUU